GAUGAAUGCUGGCGGCGUGCCUAACACAUGCAAGUCGAGCGGCAGCGAGGGGUGCUUGCACCCUGUCGGCGAGCGGCGAACGGCUGAGUAACGCGUAGGAAUUUGCCCCAAAGUGAGGAAUAACUGCCCGAAAGGGUAGCUAAUGCCGCAUAUGGUCUUCGGAUUAAAGGAUUUAUCCGCUUUGGGAGAAGCCUGCGUUGGAUUAGGUUGUUGGUAGGGUAAUGUCCUACCAAGCCGACGAUCCAUAGCUGGUCUGAGAGGAUGAUCAGCCAGACUGGAACUGAGACACGGUCCAGACUCCUACGGGAGGCAGCAGUGAGGAAUCUUCCACAAUGGGCGAAAGCCUGAUGGAGCAACGCCGCGUGAAGGAUGAAGGCAUUCGGGUUGUAAACUUCUUUUAUGAGCGAAGAAUAUGACGGUAACUCAUGAAUAAGCACCGGCUAACUACGUG
rnacentral:rRNA from 1 species